AGGGCUUGACAUGCAGGGUAAACCCGUGGAAACACGGGGCUCCUUCGGGAGCCUGCACAGGUGCUGCACGGCUGUCGUCAGCUCGUGCCGUGAGGUGUUGCCUUAAGUGGCGCAACGAGCGCAACCCCUGUUCCAUGUUGCCAGCGGGUAAUGCCGGGGACUCAUGGGAGACUGCCGGUGACAAACCGGAGGAAGGUGGGGAUGACGUUUAGGAGCUCGAC
rnacentral:misc_RNA from 1 species